GGCAGUGUAGUAUAAUGGGUAAGAUACUGGGCUUGUAACCUAAAGGUAAUAGGUUCGAUUCCCGGGACGGACA
rnacentral:tRNA from 1 species